UAUAAUGCAGUCGAGCGGACAGAUGGGAGCUUGCUCCCUGAUGUUAGCGGCGGACGGGUGAGUAACACGUGGGUAACCUGCCUGUAAGACUGGGAUAACUCCGGGAAACCGGGGCUAAUACCGGAUGCUUGUUUGAACCGCAUGGUUCAAACAUAAAAGGUGGCUUCGGCUACCACUUACAGAUGGACCCGCGGCGCAUUAGCUAGUUGGUGAGGUAAUGGCUCACCAAGGCAACGAUGCGUAGCCGACCUGAGAGGGUGAUCGGCCACACUGGGACUGAGACACGGCCCAGACUCCUACGGGAGGCAGCAGUAGGGAAUCUUCCGCAAUGGACGAAAGUCUGACGGAGCAACGCCGCGUGAGUGAUGAAGGUUUUCGGAUCGUAAAGCUCUGUUGUUAGGGAAGAACAAGUGCCGUUCAAAUAGGGCGGCACCUUGACGGUACCUAACCAGAAAGCCACGGCUAACUACGUGCCAGCAGCCGCGGUAAUACGUAGGUGGCAAGCGUUGUCCGGAAUUAUUGGGCGUAAAGGGCUCGCAGGCGGUUUCUUAAGUCUGAUGUGAAAGCCCCCGGCUCAACCGGGGAGGGUCAUUGGAAACUGGGGAACUUGAGUGCAGAAGAGGAGAGUGGAAUUCCACGUGUAGCGGUGAAAUGCGUAGAGAUGUGGAGGAACACCAGUGGCGAAGGCGACUCUCUGGUCUGUAACUGACGCUGAGGAGCGAAAGCGUGGGGAGCGAACAGGAUUAGAUACCCUGGUAGUCCACGCCGUAAACGAUGAGUGCUAAGUGUUAGGGGGUUUC
rnacentral:rRNA from 1 species